UGGAGCAUGUGGUUUAAUUCGAAGCAACGCGAAGAACCUUACCAGGCCUUGACAUGCAGAGAACUUUCCAGAGAUGGAUUGGUGCCUUCGGGAACUCUGACACAGGUGCUGCAUGGCUGUCGUCAGCUCGCGUCGUGAGAUGUUGGGUUAAGUCCCGUAACGAGCGCAACCCUUGUCCUUAGUUACCAGCACGUUAUGGUGGGCACUCUAAGGAGACUGCCGGUGACAAACCGGAGGAAGGUGGGGAUGACGUCAAGUCAUCAUGGCCCUUACGGCCUGGGCUACACACGUGCUACAAUGGUCGGUACAAAGGGUUGCCAAGCCGCGAGGUGGAGCUAAUCCCAUAAAACCGAUCGUAGUCCGGAUCGCAGUCUGCAACUCGACUGCGUGAAGUCGGAAUCGCUAGUAAUCGUGAAUCAGAAUGUCACGGUGAAUACGUUCCCGGGCCUU
rnacentral:rRNA from 1 species